UACAGAGGGUGCAAGCGUUAAUCGGAAUUACUGGGCGUAAAGCGCGCGUAGGCGGCUUUGUAAGUUAGAGGUGAAAGCCCGGAGCUCAACUCCGGAAUUGCCUUUAAGACUGCAUCGCUAGAAUCAUGGAGAGGUUAGUGGAAUUCCGAGUGUAGAGGUGAAAUUCGUAGAUAUUCGGAAGAACACCAGUGGCGAAGGCGACUAACUGGACAUGUAUUGACGCUGAGGUGCGAAAGCGUGGGGAGCAAACAGG
rnacentral:rRNA from 1 species